CAUCCGCCCAUCCCCCACAGCUCACAGUCACGGGAUCACAGCCGGACAGCUCGCGACGCGGUCACGGAAAAUAACAGCUGGACACAGACAAACGAGUCCCGCGAAUUGUAUUUUUAAACUGGAGAGACAGCUGACAGGAUGUCGUCAUCUGUAACCGUCACUCGCCACAGUUCUCAAGCGAGAGCAAAGGCAGCUGAGGGGUGGUGUGAUGUCAUUUGCAACAAGACGGCUGAUACUUAUAUGGGCCUAAAAUGAAGGACAAUAAUGGCAUCAGCCAUUCAAGUUAUGAUCCUGGCAGAUCUACUACUAUCUGAAAAGUAGUCUCUGCAGAUUGUUUCAAGAUACACAAGAUGGAGCGUGGGGAGACAGGACAUGGACCACAGUUUUUCAGCACCCACACCCCACACUCAAAUUCAUAUAGAAGUUCUCAAUUAUUAAAUGUUAAUUUCAUAGUUUAUAUUUAGCUGUGAAGUUAUAGUUCAUUGUCAUAAAUAUUAAACUACAUAUUAUUAUUAUUAUUAUUAUUAUUAUUUUACAUGAUAUGCAAAUUUCACCAAUUUGUUUAAUGUGUUAAUUAACUUUUUGAAAGUGAUUAUCUUUAAUAAUUCAGAUACCUGUUGAAAUGCACAUGUAAUUAUAUACUUGCUCGUAUCUGGAAGGUUGUGUUAAUAAAAAUGAUGUUGAAAGCGAAUGUUGCAAUACUGCUAAUCUUAAAAUAACAU